CAUUAAGAAGCUAUAAAGCAUUAACCUUUU
rnacentral:tRNA from 1 species